ACACCCAUCCGGGGCCCACGUGGGGCCCAAAUGGGCAAACCCCAGCCAGCAUGCCCAUGUGGGCCCCACAUGGGCAGUUGAUGGACAUGGUGGGCUAGGUGGGCCAUGGGCUAGAGAUGGGCAAAUAUGUGGGCUGCAUGUGGGCCCCACAUGGGCUGCCCACAUAUUUUUUGGCAGGCAUAAUGCUUGAUGAUGAGAUUGCUUGCACAUGUGCGAGGGCAUAUCCAGGAAUUUUGGUGAACACAGGCAUUCACGCGGUGUUCCUGUAUGGUGGGCUUAACAUGGGCACUGCGUGGGCAGCCCAUGUAGUGGGAUGUAGGUGGGCUGGAUGUGGGCAGCCCAUUAUUUAUUUUUUCACUGUCCAAUGUGUAUGAUAUUACAAGAAAAAAGAACUCGCUGUUUAGUCUCAUGCCUCCAAAAUACACUUCGACGUCGUGAGGAAGUCGCAUAGUUGAUGUUUGUGAGACCAGCUACGGCUGAUAUUGGACAGUCAAUGUUGUGAUUGUGUCGUAUGAUUGUGUCGCCUGAGCCCGCCCCUGCGCGGGCGACCCGCCGGCGGAGCUCGGCCCACCGGACGGGGCCUGGGGCCGCCUCUGCACCGCCCGGGGCGGUGACCGGCCGACCGGCUGGCGGGGCUGCGGCGUCUGGGCGGGCCAGUUGGCGUUGAGACUCUGAGUGGUGUGCGUGUCCAAUAAAGCCUUAAUUCGGGCGGAACCGACACAUGGCGCGGUCGGUAUUAGCUCCAACCCGCCCAUAGUGAGUACAAAGUGCGAUGAACGAAAGUGAAAGGAAGCAGGAAUGCGUAGCCGUGGCGGCCGCGCCGCAACCACGACCGCGUUCGAGUCUCUUCGGAGAGGCGCGCCCGCAGCGACGCCAGCUGUAUCGCUAGUUGGUCGAGUCGCAGCUGUGACAUCAGGACGUAGUCGUCCCAUCUCUCCUUCCAGAGGUAUAGAAGGCGUCACUGCGGUCGGUGGAGAUGUCCAGUCGGUCAGGCCGAAUCGGCUGCAGGCUCGUCAUACCACAGCGAUUACGAAGGACUGUUCUAGAAGCCCUCCACGCCAGCCACCUGGGGAAGGAGAAGACGAAGGCCCGCGCAAGACAGAUCGUCUACUGGCCCGGGAUCUACCGGGAUGUGGAAAAUGUCACCCGCUGCUGUACCAGCUGCCAGAGAGAUCUUGAUCUACCCGCUCAGCAGCAAGUGGACAGAUAUUCCGGGUGGCUGUUUGUCGCCGACCUCGGUGUAAGCGCCCCCGCUUACACCGGUCCGAAGGACGAUAGCAGGCGUCAUGACGAGCGCACUCGCUACGCGACUAAGCGUAAAUGGACGGCACGGGAAAAGGGCUUUCGGCGGUACCCGGCUUUUUGAUGUCGUGUUCAGAGCCGUGCGGCGGAACGGGCUUACCCAGGACACCAACAACGGCCAGCUCAAGCUGGAGGUGGCGCCACGAAAGUGGUUUACGGGUGCCAGGAACCGCGACGGAGGCCGCCAGGAGAGGAGACCAGCUGGAGUUUAAGCGGAGGAGCAGAUGAGAGAAGAAGUCUAGAGAUGAACAGAAGAGAGGAGAGAGUUUAAACAGCAUUUUUGUGUUUAUCGAUAAUAUAAAUAUUGAUCACUGA